rnacentral:rRNA from 2 species
CGGUUGAUCCUGCCGGAGGCUAUUGCUAUCAGGGUUUGACUAAGCCAUGCGAGUCGAGAGGUGAAAGACCUCGGCAUACUGCUCAGUAACACGUGGAUAAUCUGCCCUCAGGUGAGGAAUAAUCCCGGGAAACUGGGGCUAAUGCCUCAUAGGAGACAGGUGCUGGAGUGCUCUGUCUCCGAAAGGUCCGCCGCCUGAGGAUGAGUCUGCGUCCGAUUAGGUUGUUGUUGGGGUAACGGCCCAACAAGCCUUUGAUCGGUACGGGUUGUGGGAGCAAGAGCCCGGAGAUGGAUUCUGAGACAUGAAUCCAGGCCCUACGGGGCGCAGCAGGCGCGAAAACUUUACAAUGCGAGCAAUCGUGAUAAGGAAACCCUGAGUGCCUGUCAAUGCAGGCUGUUCUGGUGUCUAACACACACCAGGAGAAAGGGCGGGGCAAGACCGGUGCCAGCCGCCGCGGUAAUACCGGCUGCUCGAGUGAUAGCCACUUUUACUGGGCUUAAAGCGUUCGUAGCUUGGUCGUUAAGUCUCUGGGGAAAUCUUUUGGCUCAACCAAAAGGCGUCUCAGGGAAACUGACGAUCUUGGAACCGGGAGAGGUAAGACGUACUUCGGGGGUAGGAGUGAAAUCUUGUAAUCCCCGAGGGACGACCGAUGGCGAAGGCAUCUUACCAGAACGGCUUCGACAGUGAGGGACGAAAGCUGGGGGAGCAAACCGGAUUAGAUACCCGGGUAGUCCCAGCCGUAAACGAUGUGCGUUAGGUGUGUCAGUGACCACGAGUCGCUGAGGUGCCGAAGGGAAACCGUGAAACGCACCGCCUGGGAAGUACGGUCGCAAGGCUGAAACUUAAAGGAAUUGGCGGGGGAGCAC